GUGGGGAAUAUUGGGCAAUGGGCGGAAGCCUGACCCAGCGACGCCGCGUGGGGGAAGAAGUCUUUCGGGACGUAAACCCAUGUUGUACGGGACGAAGGAAGUGACGGUACCGUACGAGGAAGCCCCGGCAAACUACGUGCCAGCAGCCGCGGUAAUACGUAGGGGGCGAGCGUUGUCCGGAAUCACUGGGCGUAAAGCGCACGUAGGCGGGCUGUUAAGUCGGCCGUGAAAGGCACGGGCUCAACCGGUGCAUGUCGGUCGAUACUGGCGGUCUGGAGUAUGGGAGAGGGAACUGGAAGUCCCGGUGUAGCGGUGAAAUGCGUAGAUAUCGGGAGGAACACCAGUGGCGAAGGCGGGUUCCUGGCCCAUGACUGACGCUGAGGUGCGAAAGCCGGGGGAGCGAACGGGAUUAGAAACCCCUGUAGUCC
rnacentral:rRNA from 1 species